ACAGCUGUUCCCUGCCUCUGCUUCCCGCCACUCCAAGCCUAGCGCUGCAACACAGUGGAUGGAUCGGAAGGGACCCAAGCUGG
ensembl:miRNA MIR9798 microRNA mir-9798